UACAGAGACUGCAAGCGUUAUUCGGAUUCACUGGGCGUAAAGGGUGCGCAGGCGGCCAAGUGUGUGAGGCGUGAAAGCCCGAUGCUUAACAUCGGAAUUGCACCUCAAACUACAUGGCUAGAGCAUUGGAGAGGGUAGCGGAAUUCACGGUGUAGCAGUGAAAUGCGUAGAUAUCGUGAGAACACCAGUAGGCGAAGGCGGCU
rnacentral:rRNA from 1 species